ACCUGACCAGAAGGGGCAGUCCAUCAUCCCAUCCCACCUCCCCGUCUCAUUUAAGAGCUACCCUCUGAAGGGAGAGCACCUCCUGCAUAAAGGCUGCUCUCUGAGAAGGACUGUUCUACAGCUGGAGAUUCCAACACCAGCUGAGUGAGGUGUCAGCCAUGCGUGUUUGAAGCUGGCUGCAGUUAUGGUGAUGCAGGUGGAAGAAUACGACCAACUCUGACAACAUACAAUUAGUGCAAUAAACUAUUCUCAAAAGGGAAAGUUAUCAUAGAAUGGCUUGGGUUGGAAGGGACCUCAAGGAUCAUCAAGCUCCAACCCAACCAAAUUUAUGCCUUUAUAUUUUCUCCCAGCUCAUCAGGAGUCUCUAUAAUAGAAAACAUGCUGUACACUUACUGUAGACGUAAAACUAACCCUCCUUGAGUUGAUGAGCUUUGAUUUCAAGUGUUCUUCUAUCAAACUAUCAAGUCCUAAACUGUCACAGAAACUACAAGCAAAUCACAGGAACACAUAAUCUUGCAGAGUGCUGAUGCCUAUUCUGCCCAGGAAUCAGUCGGUAUUACUGUAAAACUUCCCGUCACCAAGCUCUGCUUUGAUGGAUGACCAAAGUAGCUGCUAUUCUAUUCAAAGCCUACCUGCUUGAUGAUUCCCUGCAAGACAAGGCUCAGCAGCUCCAAGGUUCCUCUGGAAGGUCAGCUUUAUACAGACAGCAAGGCGAGCACCUCCUGUGUCAGUGCCUGAGCUCCCAUCACUGUCAGCUGUGUGGUGUUGGAAGCCAUUACACACAGGUAACUUUAACUGGUGUGUGAUCAGCAUUCUCUACUAAAUGCAUCAAUGAGCAUCUCUCCUUGACCAUCUCUAAGCAAAUAGAAGCGUUAGCUGCUGCAAAGGUAUAAGUUGUAGCAAAAUUUGACUUCAUCUGUUGUUAGGUGGUGAGAGCUAGUCAUUUCUGGAUGUCAAAAUGUCAUUCUGCUGAAUGAGACUGUCCGCACAUGAAAGCUAAAAGCAAUGGCAACCUACAUGCCCAGUAGGUACAGCCUGAAUUGCAUAUUCAUAAAUUGCUCUGCUGAACGCAGCUUAACUCAAGGAUUUCCAUAACAGGUUUUUACUUUUGCACAGAUUUUUGCAGUCUGUCCAUUUUGACGUCUCAGGGAAUCUACCAAAACACCACUUGAAAAUGCUGAUAGAGAUGGCUUAUCUAAAAAACCCCAGCUCUGUCAAACUACCCAAUUUCCAGAGCUGCAUCAGAUCAAAUAAGGAACAGUUUAGAACUGCCCUUCUCCAACCUGAAUGAAUUUGUGAUUCUGUGACAGCCUGACCUUUCUGUGCUACAUUUAUCCAGCUGGGGACAGGCAGUGGGACCCCUCUGCUCCCUCAGGGCUCAAUGGGGCUGAGGCAUCCCCACUGCACAGCCCCAUGCUGAGACAGGCACAGGGCAUCGAUCCCUUCUGCCAUUGCCACCAUGGCACGUGCGGUGCCUGAGCACUCACCUGCAGGCCAUGAGAUUCAUUGCCCUUUGGUUGCUACUGACUGAAUUUCCCCACUUUUCCUCUCCUGAGGCAGUGCUGCAGUUUCCAUGGGCAGCAAUGUGCACUGAGCUCGCAGCCGACAGACGCACCCGGAGCCAUCUGUGCCGAGCGGUUUGUGUGCAGAGCACGGCUAUCUUCUGUUUGCUACCUUCAGCAAUGAGACGGCGCAAUGCAGGAACAAUCAGAGGGAAAUGUUUCUGUCAUCUUCACUGGUACCCUCAGCUCCGUGGCCUCCUGAAUGUGAAUUAGCGUCUGAAGCAGUUUAUUCAUUCAUGGCAAUCUGUUCAUUUAUUUUCAAGAGAUUGUGGAGCUCCAGGAAGCCUCAUCUGAUUUCUCUUUUCCUCCCUAAGCUCUGACUGCAAAAUAUACUUUAUUUUUCUCAGAUCAUUGCUGCUUCCGCUCUGCUGGGCUGAGGUGCCAGAGAGUCCUGGGCUCAGAAAUGGAGAAGAGGAACGCUUAGGAUUGAUGCUUGGACUUGGAGAUCCUCGAGGUCUUUCCCAACCUUGAUGACAGUAAGCAAAGAGCACCACAGCCACAAGGGUCACCAGUGCUCAGCCCGGGGCUGAUGGGGAGCUGAGGGCAGGAUGCAGCGAGCUCUGUACCUGAGGGAGGGAUGGGGAACCUCAUCCUUGGGAAGAGGCUGUGAUGUGAACACCAAUGAGGAUCUCUUGGGAAAAGAAGCUUCCUGAGAAGUUCCCAGUGCCUCCUGAUCUUCACAGCAGAGAAACUGUUUACUUUCUGCAGUCAGAACUGGAUCACAGCCCCAUUCACUGAAAAAUUUUGCUCUGAAAAGCAAAAAGCACCAAGCAGUGGAAAACUUUCCAAACCACAAAUAAAUGUUUAUUUCACAGUGCGAACAUCACCCAAGUGUUUCUGGAGUUCUGGAAAAGAACUCUCAUUAGCACAAAUGUGAAAAGGCACCACAAAUGAAUGGCAGGGCAGCAGAAUUACAUUCCAGGCAUACUUGAGAGUAGCACAACAUUUGUCUUUGUGCAGGAAGCCAGAGCAGAGCUCGCCAACAUCCGAGUUUCAGCAGAAUCCCAUUGUACAGCAUUAGCAGGGUGAAGUGGUGCAGCAGCACAGUGCCUGCCUUGUGCAAACCAACCUAUUCCUUCCCCAUUAUUUUGGCCCUCAUGCCAUAGACUUUGCACAGCAAAAACCCUCAUUAAAUCUGUCCUUGUCUUUUGCUCUAUUUCUUUUUAAAUCCUCCUUGCUGGAGCUCAGAGGGGUUGCACAGCACCAUGGGAAACACAUCAUAGGUUGGUUUGUCCAGCACUAAAUGUGAGUGCUACAGAGCAGAGCUCUGGCAGGAGGCUCAGCUGUGUUGCUUUUGAAAGCAGCGUCCUCUGUGGUCAUCUAAUACUGCAGCAGAGGCCUCCAAAGCAGAUCACUCUGUUUCCAAAAUGCAAGGUGUUAUUUGUACAGAUAAGACAGUUCUACAGCUUUCUUCCUCUCCUGUGACUUUAUUAACAGGCAGACAGUAUGCAAAUGAGCAGGAGCAUUUAACAUAAUAUUUUCGAACAGACAUUUCAGGUCUAGCUUACACUGUUUGAUCCAUUAAUCACACAGAGCUCUGAGUUCAGAAAUAACAAUAAAAAAAAGCCUAUGUAGUUACAGGUUUCUAGGGUAAAUUGAUUUUCAUAAUGGCUUUACCCAUUUCCGCCCUGUUUUCCUGAGACCAGUGUGGCCAACUAUUAUUUUCCACUGUCUCUUCCAUCCAGUAAUUCUAGCAGACCAACCUGGAUAUUCCCCACGACUCCAAAGUGUUCUCGAUGGAUUUUUAGAAGUGCUUUUGAUUUCACAGUUACUGAAGAAAAUAUGAAGGUCUGAUGAAAAUACCCACAUUUAUUUGCAAGCCCAGGAACUUCCAAUUUGUUGCUGUCAAGGAUUAGCUUUCUGUGGAAAAAAAAAGAGUUGCUACCCUAUGACAUAUCAGACAGAUUAUAGCACCAUUCUGUAUUGCCCACAGCAUGGAGAGCCUGUAUUAAAUUGCCAAAUUUAUCAGCUUUUAAGGUGUAAGUAGCUAACCGUUUGUCCAGGCCAUUAGCUCAUGUUGGAAAUCUGACUUCUGCCUUCAACUGUAAUGGAUUCUAUCCAUAGAUUACUUGAGUAUUAAAACCAAAAGCUGAUAUUAAAACUAAGAGUAUCAGAACUGUAACUUGAGAGAUUUAAAGUGAGAGUCCUGUAGAAAUAAGAUUAUUCUUGUCUAGAAGCACAGCCCACAAGUCCUCUGGCAUCCUUUCCAACACGAGGCAGCAAAGCGCGUUUGAAGAAAUGAAGAACAGAUCAGAAAUAACCCAGGAGCAAACUCUGAAUCCGCAGCAAAGAAAGAUUUCAGCCAGUUCUGCUGAAAAAACAAAGAUGAAUGGGAUGUGUAUGAGGGAAGGGAGGAGGAACAGAGGAAACCCAGCAGAAAGAAGAUCAGGAAAGAACGAGGAAAGUGUUUGCAAGUUCCCUUGCCUUUGUCAUGGCUACCAGGGCAGCCUUAAGGGACAGAGGGACCGAAACACUGAUCGCAAGGUUCUGCCUAAGUCCCUAACUUUGCCACUCCAGCAGACUUUGCACUCCAUUUGCUAGCCACUCCAUAGAUGCACAUGAAGGGUUUUCACAAGUUAACAAGCUACUAUUAGCAUCUUCCUUAUUCAGUUCAUGAAUAGUUGCUGAAAAGUUGGAUUUUUGUGGUAAAUUCUGCAUAUCCACAUUUUGUUGAACUGUGGCAGCAGUCCUUCUAAUUGACACUCUUUGUCCAGCACAUAAAUAGAAUAAUAACUGUAAAGUUUGAAUGUUUUCUUUGAAAUAAAUCAGUAUUUACAAAAUAAGUUUCUUAAAGUAUAAGAAAGGUCGCAAUGGACAGAACAGCAACUUGCAUUUCCACAUUACCAUGGCUCAUCUUUGUCCAUAAGGAUGUGCUAGCUUGAAGCACGGUACCCUCGUCUGCUGACUUUUGUCAUUAGAGCAACUGGGAUUUAUGUCAGUAAAGCACCAAAGUGUGCUGUGAAGUGGGCAUGAGUGUGUACCAGCACUAGCAUGGGUAUCCUGAACUUCUUUCUGCACUACAGACUUUCUUGGCCUUGUUCUGGAUUGUUGAAGUUCAUUUUCAGCAUUCAGCUCCAUUUGAUAUCACUGACAUGAAAGCCAGAAGCCCAAACUUUCAGAUUAGAGUUGGGUGACAGAUGUGUAGAAGAGCAAAAGUGAGACCACCCCAAUUAUUAGAGGGGAGUAUUGCAAAAUGUUCGUGCUGAACACUGUUCAGAUUGUCUUGUACCCUUCUUUGGCUGCCAUUCAGCUGCUCUGCCAAGAAGCUCCUCCCCCGCUCCAAGCAGCCUGCCAAAUUAUCAGAGUGAAAAUAUAUCAAGAUUUAUGAUAAGCUUGGAAAUGGAUGGCACUGCACCUGAAUAUCACAUCCACACAUCAGCCACAUAGGAUCCAACAUUCCUCUGUUGUCCUCCUUAAGGAACUUCAUGGAGGCCCAGUGCCAUUCUGAUGUUCAGAGCCCCAAUGGAUCGGCACCAGCAGGGCUGCCUGUGGGUGCCAAAAGGUAGAGAGGGUGGAUGAAAAUAGGUUUCUGGUCUGCAGACACACGUAACAACCUGGGUGCUCUCACGGUAGUCUUUGAAAUGCCACGACAGUUAUCCCUCACACUGCCCAGCUUUGUUGCUUUCUCUUAAAACAACCCAAACUACAGCUUCCUUUUGACAGAAUCUGCUGAUCUCGAGCUCUGCUGGAGUAGAAGGCAGCUGUUAAUUAGUGACAAGUGGCACGUGCCACUGACUCUAUGUCCUUUCAGCAAGCGCAAAUUUCAUACCCAUGGCCAGCAACACUGUGCAAUGCAGCAGUGCAGACUUUGUUACCAUUACAGAGAUUCUUGCACUGGCAUUUUCUCUCCUGUUCAGCUAUAUUAGCUGAGUAACCUUUGCAGACAAAGUCACAAAGUGUCAGUAAGCCAGGUGGGUGCACAGAGCUCUGCUUUCUGAUCCCUCUGCCAAUCUGUGGCAGAUGCGGGGCUCUGAUGAAUGCUGCAAACAAGGAAAGGUCAUGAGAUACUCAGAAGUGAUCCUCCAGGCCUCCAUUUGGUUAAAAAUUAUAUCCUUAGCUCAAAUAUGGGCAUAUCAAACAAAGGGUAAUAGGAGCUUAUCGGCUAGGGGGCUAGCAGUAUUACUUAAUUUGUGAGUUAGUUUAAAUUUUUCAAAUCACAGUCAUCACAAGUAAUCUUUGAAUCAAACAAGGGAGCACUUUCUGGGCAUUGCCCCAUAACUUCUUUAAAAAUAGGAAACACUGAUAUAUAGACUAUGUCCCGAGAAGCUGCGCAGAGGUCACCACCCACUUCAGCAAGUCUUGCUGCUGAGAGGCUCAGUUUGCUUAGGGAGGCAGGCAGGGAGCUGCUCAGGGGCACAUCAUGGAGAAAUGCAGUCAUGGAAAGAGGUCUCAGCCCUGAACAGAGCUGGGAGCAGCUGACUGUGCCUGGGCUUAGCAGAGGUAGAGCAGACAGUAGCACUUGUUCUCAGGAGCACAAGCAGCCAGCUCUGCAGGAAAGAGUCUUCUCGGGGAAGAGGAUUCAUUGCAGUAGAGGCUGAAGGGCUCUGAUGCUUGUUUCCUUGACUGCUCUACCUUUAGAGGAAAGUUCUCAGAAUCCACAUGAACUCUCUGGGAGCUUUACAUCUUAUGACUCUAUCCCUGUGGCCAAAGCUCUCUUUGGGAUGAUGUAGACCUGCAAACUGCACAGCACACAAGGCUGUGAACCAGCAUACUCAGCUGCUGCUGGUGACAAGUCAUCAUCAGAACAUCUCUGCUUGGCACCUGGGGACAAGCACAGUGAGGCAGGGAGCCCAACACCACUCUCUGGUAGCAAGGGCAGUGAGGGUUCUGAGCCCCUCCUCAAAAGCCACUCCAAUUACCUCCAUUACCCUCUGCUUCUCAUGUUGUAUGGGCUUCCCACAUAGCCCCUUGUUUGCAUCACUUCAGUACAGUAUUUAAAACACUACAUGGCCUAGACAAAAUUAGUUCAAAGCAGCUUUGAUUUCACCCAGCCUUAUCUGGCCCAAUCAGUGCUGCGGUGCCUUAGCAUGGUGGCCAUGCCUCAGUACUGCAGUACACAUUGUCAUCACAAACAGAUGCAGCUGGCCAGCAGACACCUGGCCCUAUGGAGGAUAAGACAUGAGCAGCAGCUCCACACAGGUACUGUGCUCUAUUAAGAGCCAGUUGCCUUCAGGGCUCAUUUGGGCUAAAAUACAAAACCUCAUGGACUGUAGUUAUUAGCUUCCAGCAUUAAUUAGAAGUAGAGUUAGCAAUUAAAAGUGCAAGAUGGUAAGGAAUAAUGGACAAGCCUUCAGCUGGCUGUGCAUUUCCACCAGGGAGAGCCAAGAGUGAAAGGAAAAGGGAGCAAAGCAAGCAGCACACACAGCAAAGGCCAUAAAUCGUCACAAUUCUAUGUUAUCAAAGAUAGAAUGGAGCUGUUCAGACUCACCAAGAGAAAGGAUGCCCUGGUUCAAGCAUGGCAGAGCCUCACCAGAAAGAAUCGCAAGGAGGUGAGUCCUGGGUAACACGGCCAGCAGCCCAGGUGUGCCAACUGCAUACAAACAUCAGCAGGAACAGAAAACAGUGACAGCAGCCAAAGGCAGACCUGAACCAUGCUGCAUCCCACAAGUCAAGGUAUGUAGCAACAAAGGAAAGCAAGAACACUCUUUGUCACAUAGAUCAACAACAGUUUAUCUUGUUGUGCCUCCAAGAUGCUACAGAUUUAUAUUAGCUUUGGCAGUUUCAUGCUAGAAAGCAAGACACUAUGACACUCACCUUCUGCAGUAAGACCAAAGCACCAACUUAACCCAAAGGAAUAGGUUUGUGCUUCAAUUUAAAGGUGACCUUUGCCAGGUGCUCCCGUUCAGAGAUUCCAUAGUUCACACCUACUUUGGCAUUUCCUCAUUAAAAUAGUUCAAAGAGAUCAGAGCACUACUGUUAAUUAUUAUUCUGAAAGACCAGGCAGAAAGUAUAACCUUAUUUUGCUGGGUUCUGGGCAGGUCUGGGUCAGAAAUACAGUACUGGUCUAAAGGUCAGGUUCACAGGACCAGAAAUUUGUGGCUGUUAUUUUGAUCUCCAGCACUUUAGAAAGCAUCUGUCUAUUCUCUGAUCAUUCAAACCUGCUUGCUUUCCAGC
ensembl:lncRNA